UAUUGACGGACGGACGUAAAAUUGAAAUGUUGCAUACCUGCCCAUAUUGCAUACCGCUUUACAUACAAAGCACGUAACUACUAAGAAUAUUUUUUUUAAAUAAACAACAACAAAGGAAACAACGCAAUAAAUUUAUUCCCUAAAGGAAGACAUGGAAUAUUAUACAACGAUUCCAGUGAUGUCCAAAUCAAGAUAAUCAGACUUCUGGAAUUGGCUGAAGAUAUAGUCAACCGUCUCCAAUGUGGAUCAUAAUCGUACUCAUUGCUUCUUUCGUCUAUCCAAUCGCCGCCCAAGCAGGCUCUCACAAGAUAAUGGAAGAUUACAAUCUCCUAUACCCCUACGAAUGGCGAAACGGCGAUUUCGAGGACUUGGAUAAAAUGCUGGAUUGCUACUGUCCCAGAGUCUAUUGGCCCUGUUGCAGUACAGAGGGAGUUACAUAUCCGAACCACUGUGUAAUGCUUUGUGACAAAAAGAACCUGAAAAGACUGGGCCCCUGUAUUAAGUAUAGGAGAGACAUGGAAAGGUGUAUGAGUAUUGUGAUGCCAAGAAAUUGGAAAAAUACGUCGCGGGCGAAGGUGGAGAAGGUGAUCCCUGGCGAUUUUAUUGUUGAAAAUGUAACGCAAUGGUAGAUUGUACUUAUCCUUACGGACAACAAAUUAAAUAGUAGCACAGCAGUCACAUAAAGUACUGUUGCAUAAAGAAGUGCAUUAUAAAUUAAGUAUUUAAAAUGAUGUUGUUAAGUGAACUGUAAUAGCUUGUCAUACAUGAGGUUUAUUGUGCACAAUAAUAUUGUUGGAUAAAUAGUACAAACUAAAUAAUACAAAUGCUCAUUUAUGUUCGUACGAAUGAUAUUGUUGAUUAGAGUGCAAAGCGCAAAGUAAAGGUACCGAAUAAUAAAAACAAGACAAAUUGUGUCAAUUUUUUUAAAGUAAACUAAAUAAUACAAAUAGCUAUUUACGACCGUAAAUGGUUAUUUGUAAUAUUUAGUUUACUUUAAAACACAACAGAAUGGUGUCAAUUUGUCUUGUCUUUAUUAUGUAGUACCUUUACUUUGCACUCUAUCCACCAAUAACAUUCGUAUGAUUCGUACGAACGUAAAUUACUAUUUGUAUUAUUUAGUUUAUCCAACAAUAUUAUUUUAUUAUGACAAGCUAUUACAGUUCACUUAACAACAUCGUUUUAAAUACUUAUUUAAUAAAGUACUUCUUUGUGCAACAGUACUUUAUGUGACUGCUAUAAUUUCAAAACUACCUAUUUUAAAAUUAUAAAAAAUAUAUAUUUGAGAUUCUCAC